rnacentral:ncRNA from 1 species
AUUUUUUCGUUGACGAGAAGAGUAGGCUGUAAAGGCUGUCCACAGAGAGUCGCUGUUUGCUGCAAGGCGAUGACAGGUUAGAGCUGAAGAUCAUCUCUGAGAAGUUUCGCUGAAAUAAGGGUAGAGUAGGUGGAACCGGCAGACGGCCGUUAUCCGUUUUAUGAACCGAGAGCCGUGCAAUUGCUGCGCGGAAUAUGGGUGGUACCGCGGAUCUACAUCCGUCCCUGUU